rnacentral:rRNA from 1 species
CACGUAUGGGGCGAGCGUUGUUCGGAAUUAUUGGGCGUAAAGGGCGUGUAGGCGGUUCUGUAAGCUUGGUGUUAAAACUGCAGGCUUAACCUGUAGGUGGCGCUGGGAACUGCAGGACUAGAGUUCAGGAGGGGGAGCUGGAAUUCCUGGUGUAGGGGUGAAAUCUGUAGAUAUCAGGAAGAACACCGGUGGCGAAGGCGAGCUCCUAGCCAUGGACUGACGCUGAGGCGCGAAAGCGUGGGGAGCGAACAGGAUUAGAUACCCCCGUA